ACUGCAAUCUCAACUGGUAAUUUUGUUCAGUUCAGUAAAAAUAGAAUUAAAAACCGUGUGUAACAAAACAAAAGUAUCAAGGAAAAUGAACAAAGUGCUCGCGAUUUUUGCCAUAGGCUGUUUAUUCAAUGUUUCCCUUUCAGCUCGCUUGCCACGUGACGCCGAUACCAAUGAUUCAAGCAGCAGCAGUAAGAAAAAUAUUUUCCUCCCCCAAAUAUUCACACUGGUGAUCGAAAAUAUUGCUGUGAAAAAGACAAUCACUUUGACUGAAGCUCAAAAAUCAAGUGUAUCCGAAAUUUUGAUGAAAGGCUGGAACAAAUCUGCCAGAUUUGGCCGGACAAGAACGACGUCACACUUCAAGAUAUUGAAAAAUUGAAAACAGAACUAACAGCCGUUAUUCCAUCAGAAGUUGCUGAAGAAGUAAGCAGUAUGAUGUCAAAAUUUACAAAGGACGCAUCAUCUGAUGAAGCUUUCGAAGGAAUGCUCCGUAUGUUCAUUCUUCUACUUGAAUCAGUUAAACGCUUAGAUUAUGAACUUAGUUGAUGCAGUUUGUACCUAAAAGAAGGAAGCGACCAGCGCUACGAACAAGGCAACUAGGCGCACAUUUUUACUUUUCCAAAUUGUCCAAAAUCUAAAAAAUUCCAUUUGAAAAUAAAUAAAAUC